UACGGAGGAUCCGAGCGUUAUCCGGAUUUAUUGGGUUUAAAGGGUGCGUAGGCGGUUUCAUAAGUCAGUGGUGAAAUACGGCAGCUCAACUGUCGAGGUGCCAUUGAUACUGUGAGACUUGAGUACAGACGAGGUAGGCGGAAUUGACGGUGUAGCGGUGAAAUGCUUAGAUAUCGUCAAGAACACCGAUAGCGAAGGCAGCUUACUAGGCUGUAACUGACGCUGAGGCACGAAAGUGUGGGGAUCAAACAGG
rnacentral:rRNA from 1 species